ACAUGUAGAUGAAGGGGAGGAGACAUGUAGAUGAAGGGGAGGAGACAUGUAGAUGAAGGGGAGGAGACAUGUAGAUGAAGGGGAGGAAACAUGUAGGUGAAGGGGAGGAGACAUGUAGAUGAAGGGGAGGAGACAUGUAGAUGAAGGGGAGGAGACAUGUAGAUGAAGGGGAGGAGACAUGUAGAUGAAGGGGAGGAGACAUGUAGAUGAAGGGGAGGAGACAUGUAGAUGAAGGGGAGGAGACAUGUAGAUGAAGGGGAGGAGACAUGUAGAUGAAGGGGAGGAGACAUGUAGGUGAAGGGGAGGAGACAUGUAGGUGAAGGGGAGGAGACAUGUAGAUGAAGGGGAGGAGACAUGUAGA